rnacentral:rRNA from 1 species
UAAGCAUAUCAAUAAGCGGAGGAAAAGAAACCAACAGGGAUUGCCCCAGUAACGGCGAGUGAAGCGGCAACAGCUCAAAUUUGAAAUCUGGCCCCUAGGGCCCGAGUUGUAAUUUGCAGAGGAUGCUUUUGGCGAGGUGCCUUCCGAGUUCCCUGGAACGGGACGCCAUAGAGGGUGAGAGCCCCGUCUGGUUGGAUACCGAGCCUCUGUAAAGCUCCUUCGACGAGUCGAGUAGUUUGGGAAUGCUGCUCUAAAUGGGAGGUAUAUGUCUUCUAAAGCUAAAUAUUGGCCAGAGACCGAUAGCGCACAAGUAGAGUGAUCGAAAGAUGAAAAGCACUUUGAAAAGAGGGUUAAACAGUACGUGAAAUUGUUGAAAGGGAAGCGUUUAUGACCAGACUUGGACCCGGUGAAUCAUCCAGCGUUCUCGCUGGUGCACUUUGCCGGGCUCAGGCCAGCAUCAGUUUGUCCCGGGGGAUAAAGGCUUAGGGAAUGUGGCUCCUCCGGGAGUGUUAUAGCCCUCUGCAUAAUACCCUGGGGCGGACUGAGGUUCGCGCAUCUGCAAGGAUGCUGGCGUAAUGGUCAUCAACGACCCGUCUUGAAACACGGACCAAGGAGUCGUCUUCGUAUGCGAGUGUUCGGGUGUCAAACCCCUACGCGUAAUGAAAGUGAACGCAGGUGAGAGCUUCGGCGCAUCAUCGACCGAUCCUGAUGUUCUCGGAUGGAUUUGAGUAAGAGCAUACGGGGCCGGACCCGAAAGAAGGUGAACUAUGCCUGUAUAGGGUGAAGCCAGAGGAAACUCUGGUGGAGGCUCGCAGCGGUUCUGACGUGCAAAUCGAUCGUCAAAUAUGGGCAUGGGGGCGAAAGACUAAUCGAACCUUCUAGUAGCUGGUUUCCGCCG